AUGGUGAUGGUGGUGAUGGUGGUGAUGGUGGUGGUGGUGGCGGUGGUGGUAAUGGUGGUGAUGGUGGUGAUGGAGGUGGUGGCGGUGAUGGUAAUGGUGGUGAUGGUGGUGAUGGUGGCGGUGGUGGCGGUGAUGGUAAUGGUGGUGAUGGUGGUGAUGGAGGUGGUGGCGGCGGUGAUGGUAAUGGUGGUGAUGGUGGUGAUGGAGGUGGUGGCGGCGGUGAUGGUAAUGGUGGUGAUGGUGGUGAUGGAGGUGGUGGCGGCGGUGAUGGUAAUGGUGGUGAUGGUGCUGAUGGAGGUGGUGACGGUGGUUAAUGUUGCAGAAGUUCCUUACGUGUCAGGUCUAGCCUGCAUGAUGGUAAUGGUGCUGAUGGAGGUGGUGACGGUGGUUAAUGUUGCAGAAGUUCCUUACGUGUCAGGUCGAGCCUGCAUGAUGGUAAUGGUGGUGAUGGAGGUGGUGACGGUGGUUAAUGUUGCAGAAGUUCCUUACGUGUCAGGUCGAGCCUGCAUGAUGGUAAUGGUGCUGAUGGAGGUGGUGACGGUGGUUAAUGUUGCAGAAGUUCCUUACGUGUCAGGUCGAGCCUGCAUGAUGGUAAUGGUGGUGAUGGAGGUGGUGACGGUGGUUAAUGUUGCAGAAGUUCCUUACGUGUCAGGUCGAGCCUGCAUGAUGGUGAUGGUGCUGAUGGAGGUGGUGACGGUGGUUAAUGUUGCAGAAGUUCCUUACGUGUCAGGUCGAGCCUGCAUGAUGGUGAUGGUGCUGAUGGAGGUGGUGACGGUGGUUAAUGUUGCAGAAGUUCCUUACGUGUCAGGUCGAGCCUGCAUGAUGGUAAUGGUGCUGAUGGAGGUGGUGACGGUGGUUAAUGUUGCAGAAGUUCCUUACGUGUCAGGUCGAGCCUGCAUGAUGGUAAUGGUGCUGAUGGAGGUGGUGACGGUGGUUAAUGUUGCAGAAGUUCCUUACGUGUCAGGUCGAGCCUGCAUGAUGGUGAUGGUGCUGAUGGAGGUGGUGACGGUGGUUAAUGUUGCAGAAGUUCCUUACGUGUCAGGUCGAGCCUGCAUGAUGGUAAUGGUGCUGAUGGAGGUGGUGACGGUGGUUAAUGUUGCAGAAGUUCCUUACGUGUCAGGUCGAGCCUGCAUGAUGGUAAUGGUGCUGAUGGAGGUGGUGACGGUGGUUAAUGUUGCAGAAGUUCCUUACGUGUCAGGUCGAGCCUGCAUGAUGGUAAUGGUGCUGAUGGAGGUGGUGACGGUGGUUAAUGUUGCAGAAGUUCCUUACGUGUCAGGUCGAGCCUGCAUGAUGGUGAUGGUGCUGAUGGAGGUGGUGACGGUGGUUAAUGUUGCAGAAGUUCCUUACGUGUCAGGUCGAGCCUGCAUGAUGGUAAUGGUGGUGAUGGAGGUGGUGACGGUGGUUAAUGUUGCAGAAGUUCCUUACGUGUCAGGUCUAGCCUGCAUGAUGGUAAUGGUGCUGAUGGAGGUGGUGACGGUGGUUAAUGUUGCAGAAGUUCCUUACGUGUCAGGUCGAGCCUGCAUGAUGGUGAUGGUGCUGAUGGAGGUGGUGACGGUGGUUAAUGUUGCAGAAGUUCCUUACGUGUCAGGUCGAGCCUGCAUGAUGGUGAUGGUGCUGAUGGAGGUGGUGACGGUGGUUAAUGUUGCAGAAGUUCCUUACGUGUCAGGUCGAGCCUGCAUGAUGGUAAUGGUGGUGAUGGAGGUGGUGACGGUGGUUAAUGUUGCAGAAGUUCCUUACGUGUCAGGUCGAGCCUGCAUGAUGGUAAUGGUGGUGAUGGAGGUGGUGACGGUGGUUAAUGUUGCAGAAGUUCCUUACGUGUCAGGUCGAGCCUGCAUGAUGGUGAUGGUGCUGAUGGAGGUGGUGACGGUGGUUAAUGUUGCAGAAGUUCCUUACGUGUCAGGUCGAGCCUGCAUGAUGGUGAUGGUGCUGAUGGAGGUGGUGACGGUGGUUAAUGUUGCAGAAGUUCCUUACGUGUCAGGUCGAGCCUGCAUGAUGGUAAUGGUGGUGAUGGAGGUGGUGACGGUGGUUAAUGUUGCAGAAGUUCCUUACGUGUCAGGUCGAGCCUGCAUGAUGGUAAUGGUGCUGAUGGAGGUGGUGACGGUGGUUAAUGUUGCAGAAGUUCCUUACGUGUCAGGUCGAGCCUGCAUGAUGGUGAUGGUGCUGAUGGAGGUGGUGACGGUGGUUAAUGUUGCAGAAGUUCCUUACGUGUCAGGUCUAGCCUGCAUGAUGGUAAUGGUGCUGAUGGAGGUGGUGACGGUGGUUAAUGUUGCAGAAGUUCCUUACGUGUCAGGUCGAGCCUGCAUGAUGGUGAUGGUGCUGAUGGAGGUGGUGACGGUGGUUAAUGUUGCAGAAGUUCCUUACGUGUCAGGUCGAGCCUGCAUGAUGGUAAUGGUGCUGAUGGAGGUGGUGACGGUGGUUAAUGUUGCAGAAGUUCCUUACGUGUCAGGUCGAGCCUGCAUGAUGGUGAUGGUGCUGAUGGAGGUGGUGACGGUGGUUAAUGUUGCAGAAGUUCCUUACGUGUCAGGUCGAGCCUGCAUGAUGGUGAUGGUGCUGAUGGAGGUGGUGACGGUGGUUAAUGUUGCAGAAGUUCCUUACGUGUCAGGUCGAGCCUGCAUGAUGGUAAUGGUGCUGAUGGAGGUGGUGACGGUGGUUAAUGUUGCAGAAGUUCCUUACGUGUCAGGUCGAGCCUGCAUGAUGGUGAUGGUGCUGAUGGAGGUGGUGACGGUGGUUAAUGUUGCAGAAGUUCCUUACGUGUCAGGUCGAGCCUGCAUGAUGGUGAUGGUGCUGAUGGAGGUGGUGACGGUGGUUAAUGUUGCAGAAGUUCCUUACGUGUCAGGUCGAGCCUGCAUGAUGGUGAUGGUGCUGAUGGAGGUGGUGACGGUGGUUAAUGUUGCAGAAGUUCCUUACGUGUCAGGUCGAGCCUGCAUGAUGGUGAUGGUGCUGAUGGAGGUGGUGACGGUGGUUAAUGUUGCAGAAGUUCCUUACGUGUCAGGUCGAGCCUGCAUGAUGGUGAUGGUGCUGAUGGAGGUGGUGACGGUGGUUAAUGUUGCAGAAGUUCCUUACGUGUCAGGUCGAGCCUGCAUGAUGGUAAUGGUGCUGAUGGAGGUGGUGACGGUGGUUAAUGUUGCAGAAGUUCCUUACGUGUCAGGUCGAGCCUGCAUGAUGGUGAUGGUGCUGAUGGAGGUGGUGACGGUGGUUAAUGUUGCAGAAGUUCCUUACGUGUCAGGUCGAGCCUGCCUGCCUUCUGAAUUCAACUCAUUUACUCCCAACAGCAACCUACGAGGCAGCUUACUGUCACCAUCUUACAGAUGA
rnacentral:lncRNA from 1 species